AACAUCGCGCACCUGCGGGAACCUGCGGAAGGAUCAUUACACAAUAAACAUAUGAAGGCUGCACCGCCAACAGGCGGCAAGGCUGGAGUAUUUUAUUACCCUUGUCUUUUGCGCACUUGUUGUUUCCUGGGCGGGUUCGCCCGCCUCCAGGACCACAUGAUAAACCUUUUUUAUGCAGUUGCAAUCAGCGUCAGUACAACAAAUGUAAAUCAUUUACAACUUUUAACAACGGAUCUCAGA
rnacentral:misc_RNA from 1 species